rnacentral:rRNA from 1 species
AUUAACGCUGGCAGAGUGCAUAACACAUGCAAGUCGCGCGAGGUGGCGGAUUAUCGCGCCUAGCGGCAAACGAGUGAGUAAAACGUAAAUAACCUGCCCCCGAAAGGCGAACAACCAGUCGAAAGAUUGGCUAAUACGCCGUAUUAUCCCGCAAAGGCAUCUUCGCGGGAUGAGAGCCGUAAGGCGUUCGGGGAGGGGUUUGCGACCCAUCAGCUAGUUGGCGGUGUAAUAGACCACCAAGGCUAUGACGGGUACCCGGCCUGAAAGGGCGGACGGGCACGAAGGCACUGAGACACGGGCCUUACUCCUACGGGAGGCAGCAGUGGGGAAUUUUGGACAAUGGGGGAAACCCUGAUCCAGCAACUCUGCGUGAGGGACGAAGCCCUUCGGGGCGUAAACCUCUUUUAUCUGGGACGAAAACCCGCAAGGGUCUGACGGUACCAGGUGAAUAAGCCACGGCUAACUAUGU